UACGUAGGGGGCAAGCGUUAUCCGGAUUUACUGGGUGUAAAGGGAGCGUAGACGGCAGCGCAAGUCUGGAGUGAAAUCCCAUGGCUUAACCAUGGAACUGCUUUGGAAACUGUGCAGCUGGAGUGCAGGAGAGGUAAGCGGAAUUCCUAGUGUAGCGGUGAAAUGCAUAGAUAUAACUUAGAACACCGAUAGCGAAGGCAGCUUACCAGACUGAGUCUGACGCUGAUGCACGAGAGCAUGGGUAGCGAACAGG
rnacentral:rRNA from 1 species